GAUGAAGAACGCAGCGAAAUGCGAUAAGUAAUGCGAAUUGCAGAAUUUCCGUGAGUCAUCGAAUCUUUGAACGCACAUUGCGCCCCCUGGUAUUCCGGGGGGCAUGCCUGUUCGAGCGUCAUUACAACCCUCAAGCUCUGCUUGGUAUUGGGCCCCGCCAGUUCUGGCGGGCCCUAAAGUCAGUGGCGGUGCCUUCCGGCUCCGAGCGUAGUAAUUCUUCUCGCUCUGGAGACCCGGUUGUGUGCUUGCCAACAACCCCCAAUUUUUUAAGGUUGACCUCGGAUCAGGUAGGGAUACCCGCUGAACUUAAGCAUAUCAAUAAGCGGAGGA
rnacentral:misc_RNA from 1 species